UUUCACUUUGCAAACUUUUGUUACCCGUACAAUUUACGUUCUCUGAAGAAAGAAAGAUGAAUGCAAUUCAACCCCAACCAAACCCUAAAUAAGUGAUUUGUCUUUGUCAAAUCUGGAUGAUCUAUCACACACAGCUUCUUUGGCUUUUCUUGAGAUAAAUUGGUUGUGCCUCUUUUUGCUCCUCUUCAUGGUUGCUAUGACUUUUGUUCAUUCGUGUGGCUAUCUUUCUUCUUUCUUCAGUUGGUGCUCUAAUCGGUGCUUGAGCACCAGACUUUGGCCUCUAUCCCGUGCGUUUUCCCAUGCUCACCGCCCCCGUUCAAUAUCCCUGUUUGGCUGCCUCUGUGUGCAUCGUUUUGAUCGAUUCUUAGGUUAUUCUUCUGCGGUCUUUGAGUGAGUAAUCUUGACCCAAUUUGGAUGGUAUUGCUGUGUGAUUUUGAGCCCUUGAUCUGAACCUAGAUUCGUCCGCUUUUGGAGCCAAUCAAUUGGAGUUUUGAUAGUAAAGUAUUGUCAUUUCACUCACUUAAUUAAUUCUCACUGUCAAUUGAUUAUAGAGCUAACUUUGUGUUAAUUAUUUGGUUGUUGGUGAUGAUUUCUCCACAAAUUGGUAUUAGAACCAAUUUUUUUGGCUUCGUGACUUCAAAAUUGACCAUUGUGUGUUGAGAAUUAAUCUGUUGUUAAAUUGAACAUGUUCGUGGUGCAAAUGCUGAUGGCAAAUGUUGUAGAG
rnacentral:lncRNA from 1 species